rnacentral:rRNA from 1 species
GACGAACGCUGGCGGCGUGCUUAACACAUGCAAGUCGAACGGAAAGGCCCUGCUUUUGUGGGGUGCUCGAGUGGCGAACGGGUGAGUAACACGUGAGUAACCUGCCCUUGACUUUGGGAUAACUUCAGGAAACUGGGGCUAAUACCGGAUAGGAGCUCCUGCUGCAUGGUGGGGGUUGGAAAGUUUCGGCGGUUGGGGCUGGACUCGCGGCUUAUCAGCUUGUUGGUGGGGUUGUGGCUUACCAAGGCUUUGACGGGUAGCCGGCCUGAGAGGGUGACCGGCCACAAUGGGACUGAGAUACGGCCCAGACUCCAACGGGAGGCAGCAGUGGGGAAUAUUGCACAAUGGGCGGAAGCCUGAUGCAGCGACGCCGCGUGCGGGAUGACGGCCUUCGGGUUGUAAACCGCUUUCGCCUGUGACGAAGCGUGAGUGACGGUAAUGGGUAAAGAAGCACCGGCUAACUACGUG